AGGAUUCCGUAGAUGCUCAAACUUCAACAAAAAUAAGGAGUUGGAAGAGACUGAGAUGCAAAAGAAAUCGUGCCUAGCGAAGCAAAAAACCUUACAAGCAAACUGCAGGCUCGAAAGAUAUCCAGGCCAAGCAAGAAAGAACUCUUUAUAACAUGCCAAGCCAAGAAGACACUCCAUCUCCAAAACCAUGCAACGCAAGCAUUGCACUUGAUACAAUCAUCUCAAGAAAGCGAUACAAUCGUCACAAAAAUGGCAACCUUAGACCAGACAGUUCUAAUUGCUGAAUGGUCGCCAUUGCAGCAAAGGGAUACCCCAAG
rnacentral:lncRNA from 1 species